UGGAGCUCAUAAGUAACAUGUGUCUAGA
rnacentral:piRNA from 1 species